rnacentral:rRNA from 1 species
GACGAACGCUGGCGGCGUGCUUAACACAUGCAAGUCGAACGGAAAGGCCCUGCUUUUGUGGGGUGCUCGAGUGGCGAACGGGUGAGUAACACGUGAGUAACCUGCCCUUGACUUUGGGAUAACUUCAGGAAACUGGGGCUAAUACCGGAUAGGAGCUCCUGCUGCAUGGUGGGGGUUGGAAAGUUUCGGCGGUUGGGGAUGGACUCGCGGCUUAUCAGCUUGUUGGUGGGGUAGUGGCUUACCAAGGCUUUGGCGGGUAGCCGGCCUGAGAGGGUGACCGGCCACAUUGGGACUGAGAUACGGCCCAGACUCCUACGGGAGGCAGCAGUGGGGAAUAUUGCACAAUGGGCGGAAGCCUGAUGCAGCAACGCCACGUGCGGGAUGACGGCCUUCGGGUUGUAAACCGCUUUCGCCUGUGACGAAGCGUGAGUGACGGUAAUGGGUAAAGAAGCACCGGCUAACUACGUG